AGUGAACGCUGGCGGUAGACCUAACACAUGCAAGUCGAACGGCAGCACAGUAAGAGCUUGCUCUUACGGGUGGCGAGUGGCGGACGGGUGAGGAAUACAUCGGAAUCUACUUUUUCGUGGGGGAUAACGUAGGGAAACUUACGCUAAUACCGCAUACGACCUACGGGUGAAAGCAGGGGAUCUUCGGACCUUGCGCGAUUGAAUGAGCCGAUGUCGGAUUAGCUAGUUGGCGGGGUAAAGGCCCACCAAGGCGACGAUCCGUAGCUGGUCUGAGAGGAUGAUCAGCCACACUGGAACUGAGACACGGUCCAGACUCCUACGGGAGGCGGCAGUGGGGAAUAUUGGACAAUGGGCGCAAGCCUGAUCCAGCCAUACCGCGUGGGUGAAGAAGGCCUUCGGGUUGUAAAGCCCUUUUGUUGGGAAAGAAAAGCGGCAGGUUAAUACCCCGCUGUUCUGACGGUACCCAAAGAAUAAGCACCGGCUAACUUCGUG
rnacentral:rRNA from 1 species